rnacentral:misc_RNA from 1 species
AUGGAGAAAGACAGGAAGAAAAGAGUCAAACCAGGGCAUGAUUGUAAUCUUGAAAGUGGAAAGUUUUGUGAAUGAAAUGGGACAACCACUUUGAAGCAGCAAAGCAGAGUAUUGCAAUGGUGACAAUGGUGGCCCUAACUGCUGCUGAAAUUACACUCUGCUUUGUCAAUGCCAAAGCUCCAAUUGCAGCUAUGGAGAUGACUUGAAGACUCACCUCAACUAUGUUUAGAGCUUUAUAUGCACCAUUGCAGCUCUUGCAAUUCACCACAUGGCUCCA